UGCAGUCCAGCCCCACUGCCUCACCCGGUUAGAGGCAUUCGAGACAGUCAAGGCUGCUAACCUGAGCUCUCCUUCCACGCUCUUCGAGUUCAAAUCCAGGCCCUUCAGCUUUACCAACAAUCUUGGGCAAGACAGUCAAGUUCCCUGAGCAUCUGUUUCCUCCAUCUGAAAAUGGGACAUUUUCUCCUCUGAAAAUGGAAUAAAAAUCUGCAACAGAGAUCGAAGCCUGCUUCCCGGUUUCUUCAGCCUGAGCCUGCACCUCUGCUUUUUAUUGGAGAACAGCUGAAAUCCCUUUCAUAAUCCGCUGUUAUCUUACAAGCACAAUUCCAUUCCUUCUGCUCGACAGACUCUGAAGGCGGACACAUUCCACGGCGGGGUAAAUGGAAUGAAAUUCAGAGAGUUCGUAACAUGUUCGCAAUCACGUAAGCGUUACGUGUGGCAACCACAACUGGAAAUCCCAGUUUCUGCCUCCUGCCUCCAGAACUGGGUUUCUUUUCUCCAGAGAAUAUAACCAGCCAAGCCAGGAACAACUUGACAGGUGCAUUUCCCUCUCUCCUACUAGCCAGCUACAAAGACAGACACACACAGUUUUCUGCUACUCUUUGCAAGGGGAUAAACUUCGUUGUACCUUUUGAAAAUUCCCAGACAGCCUUCUGGAAUUUUCUACCGCACCGAACUAGAUUAUUCUUGGCAGAAGACUCUGCGGCUGACCUUGACCCUCCCUGCCCACACCACCCUUCAUAGCACCAGCGUAUCCUUUUUUCUCCAUACUCAUGAAGGAAUAAAGUUGAUAUUUUUUCAAAUUU